rnacentral:rRNA from 1 species
GCGCGAAACCUUCACACUGCGCGUAAGCGCGAUGAGGGGAGACCGCGUGCCUUCUCUUUACGGGAAGGCUUUUCACAAGCCUAAAAAGCUUGUGGAAUAAGGGCUGGGCAAGAUGGGUGCCAGCCGCCGCGGUAAUACCCGCAGCUCAAGUGGUGGUCGCUAUUAUUGAGCCUAAAACGUCCGUAGUCGGCUUUGUAAAUCCCUGGGUAAAUCGGGUUGCUCAACGAUCCGAUCCCUGGGGAGACUGCA